rnacentral:rRNA from 1 species
GUCACACUUUAUAAAUAGAAACUAUUAGCAACGUAACGCGCCAGCAGCAUUACGCGUGGUGAAAUAUCUCAAUAAAUACCACUAUCUGUGCGUCAAAUAAGCGAAACAUUCCUGCUAAACAGGGAUUAGAGACCCCUUUAUACAAAUGCUCACAUUUACCUUGCGGAGGACUACAACCAUCUAGGUUAAAACUUAAGCAACAUGGCGGUAAUUUAAAUUUAGGGGAACUUACCGAAUCAUUGAUAACCACCAAGGUUAACUAACCAGGCAAAAAUCUUGUAUGCCGUCGUCGUCAGGUAGCACUAGAGGUUCUACCUUAAUAGUUUAUCAAAAAAGACAGAUCAAGGUGCAGACAAUUGCGUGGUUUUGGCGAGUUACAGUUUUUAUUACUAACGGAUGUUAAAUGUAAAACACUCUGAAGACGGACUUAACAGUAAUAGAUACUACCUUUACUCUAUGAAACUGUUUAAAUUGUGCACAA